rnacentral:sRNA from 1 species
CAGUUAAAUGUUGCUGUAAAUAUUAACUAUUAAUUAGCUUGAAUACAGUUUUCAAUGUUUUUAAUAAUACUAAUUUUAACACAAAACAACAGCAAUACGGUAACGGAUUCCGGAUCACCGGUAGCACAAUAAGAAACGGUAUCCUUUAUCCGGACCCGCACGAGAGUCGACCGCCUUAUGCGAAUCUUACGUAAAUCCGGGUGGCUGCCGAGUGAUGGCCUUACAGAGCGGUAACUUGACCCACCGGAUGCGGUAACUAUGGCUGGUCUUUUCAAUGCGGUAACCUAGGGACUCGUCCUCGUCGAUGCGUCUUAUCGCACGGCUUGCCGAACAGUGAGGAGCUCCGGCCCCGCGUCGGCCGGCUCGAGCCGCCGUGCAGGCACGUGCGCUUCGGUUUUCGAUGGUGGAUCCGCGUGCGUCGCAGGAUCCUCGGUCUAUCGCUGCGCUGCCUCACCCCUCGAAAUUUCCCGUGAUCAGCGCGUGUUAACUUCCACGGCGAGAUCUCUCUUGCCCCGCUGUUUCGGUCGGUCCGGCUGGCCAGGCCGCGACCAACCGAUUUUGGUGGCGGGCGGGUGGCAUUGAUACGGCCGCUCCUCCGGUCUGCAGCCCGGUGGUGUGCCCUCGGCGUGAUUCUUCCAGAGAAUCGUCUUGUAGUCGUGCGGUAUUUUUGCGGGGUCGGUAUCCUCGUAGCUCAGGGGCGGCAUCGCGCAGCGGGGCCCGAUGCACGGCUCGGCGGGGCAACUCCUUGCGAGGCACCUCGUCCACUGUCGACAGCUCGCGACAAUAUUCCCACGACGGCUGCUCCUCCUCCGUUUUUAAUACAAUUUGACAUGAGCUCACACUCGGCGCCUUAACUCUAAAUAACUAAUAGUUAAAAUGGAAAAACGGUAACACGGAAGCUAGAAAAGAAAAAGAUAAUAAAACAAAGUCGUAUCCCCCUCGGCGAGGAGAAGCCCCAGACCGACCCCCUCGGUCGGGCUUACGCCCUUGUGACGAGCGCGGCCGGACGCGUCACGUCACAUUCUAUAAUUGAUUGUCAAUCAUGUUGAUCAUGUCCAUGAUAUUGUUUUAUAGUUUCCUCAAUGUGGUGGACUAUAUAAACAAUUUAUUUCCCAUGGAGCAGUCACUGUCAUUGAUGAGGGGUGAAUAAUAUAGAAAAUAUGACUAUUGAUACACACUAUUGAUAAGGAGAUACGGUCAGUUGUGCGUGGUCAGACAAACGUGAAUCGGGAUGGUAGAACAGUAUUGGAAAAUGCGCAAAAGAUGAUAAGACAAUUUCAUUUCAUUAAUUCAUUUAUAAUUAACUUAAGUUUAGCACGCAUUACAUAUAAAUUAAUGUCUAAUUUGUAAUAGUAUAAUGAGAUCAAUACAAUCGUAGAAAAUACAAGCGUAUUAAAAAUAUUAAUAUGGUAUCAAGUAAUCUUAAAGUAACAGCAAAGUAAAUUUAAUCUAAUUGCAUUUUAGGAGAGGAAAGUCACUGUUAUCAGAGAGCAAUCUGCGUGCAUGUCUAUUUGAAAUAGCAAUAACAGAUCAGAAGAUAGAGAUACAAAGAUAGAUGAGACAGAAGAAAUCGGGUCAGGAGAUGAAGAAGCAGUGGAAUCAAAAGAGGAAUCUAAAGAAGUGGUUUCGGACAAGGAGUAGCAAAUAGCCCAUACAAUUCGUAAACAUCUUCAGGAAUGGAUGUUUGUUCUGGUAUCAUAGGUAGCUCAGAGUGGCAUACGACAGAUAUUGAAAUACGUAUUCUCAUAACAAGCAAUGUGCAAUAUGACAACAACAAACAGUCAUCCGAGGAAUUUCAAUAAGUAAUUGUGUGUCGAUUCUAAUUUAGUCUGAUUUAGUUAAGAAAUUGCAAUAUUAAUUUAUAAAUGCGAUGUUUUAUAAUCUUUUUCAUUUUAUUUUUUUCCAAGAAUGAUACAUGUUUGAGAUUCGACCGUUAACAUAAUAUUUUCUGAUAAACAUAAAUAUUUUCUGUUUCCCGUCGUGAGAUGCUGUCGGGAAAUCAUCAUCUCAUCUCGCCGAGCCGGAGCGUGGACCCGUGGAUUUCACACGUACACGCCGUGAUCGCGUGAAGUACCGGGCCGAUCAGCUGCUUGCUCUUCCUCCUAACGACGAAUAUCGGGGGAGGGUAAAGCGCGUUACCAUUUUUCGGCGCGAAUUUUAGGCAGUCUUGCGCUCGCUCUCGCCCGCCAAGUACUUCGAUUUCACUAAGGCAGUAGCGCUCAGUGUGCCGACUCAUUCAAAUCUCAACUUCUAAAAAAGUUCAAAUCCGGUCUUCUACUUAUGUUUUAAUUACAUAUUGUGUUGUAUCAAGUCACGAAGUUCUCCUCCGCGCAGUGCCAAUCUUGUGGGAAGCGAAAUCGAGCAGCGCGCUCGCGAUCGAACAACUGCCUCGCGAUCCAUUGUCCGUCUCGACCGCGUACAAGAUUUCCGCUACGGUGGGGCGUUGUGAAACACGCUCGGCAAGAUAUCCGUCGCGCAAUUAAAGGCAGGAAGGACAACCGUUCGACCCGAAGAUUUCCGCUCGUUUAAAAUUGGCUCUUCACUCCCGCACGCUCGCGUUCUUCGUGAUUCGCGAUAGUUGUACAGUUAAGUGUUAAGAAAUAAACGGUGCUUGUGACUUUGAAAAAUCCUGCAUUAUUUCAUUUGUGCUUGUGUAUCCUCCAGCGAGUUCGCGGAUUCGCGCAACACGCUCUCUGCGCUCAAGUCUGGGCGGAUCCGGCCUCUAGCGCGCACGGUUGCCGUCGGCAAACGAAUUCGCGCGCACAAUACAUAUUUAUUUGUUAUGGUGAUACGUGUACUGUUUAUCUACCUACCGAAGUUUGAAUUAUAAGCCUAAUAUGUGAUCAACUGAAGCCUGUAGUACCGUGGCGAUCGAAUUAAAGUGAUUCUAAAUGAAGUCCGUGAAGCUGUGAGAGCAUUUUACUUUCCAUCAUUUGCAUAUGCUAGUAGAAGGAGUAGAUAAUCUAAAGUACGUACAUUAAAAAUAUUUAGACAUUAUAUUAUUUAGACAUUGUCUUAAAAUUUACUGCGGAUUUCAUUGGUCUGGCUUCAGAGUAUUAACACAAAGGAAACAAUAGAGAAAUUAUUUUACCAUUGCAAGGAGUGAAACAGAUGAUGCAACAUUUUAACAGCUACAUGGACAUAUUACAAGUAAAGCAAUUAUCUGAUCAAGUUCGUCAGAUUCAGGAUGAGUUGGCCCAGCAGAUUACAGCGAAUCUCAAACAGGCCUUUUUGAGUCAAAAUCCAAAGCAUUUCAAUCAGUUAACGGAAGGAUGUUUAGUAUUAUCAGAAUUGCAUCCUAAAAUAAAGAAAGAUCUGCUCGUUUGGUUUGUAAAUAUCCAAUUGCAAGAAUACGCACAUUUGUUCGAUGAGAAUUAGAAUUUUGCCUGAUUGGAUAAGAUAGAUCGAAGAUAUAUGGAUUAAGAAACAUCUGUUUGAUUUUGAGACAAAAUUUGAUGCAAUCUUUCCCCAAGAUUAAGAGAUUUUUGAGCAAAUAGCUAUACAAUUCUACCAUGUCACGUGUGAAGAUCUUUAGUUAACGAACAAGAGACAUAAUGAGAUAGACAUUAAAUUAUUGCUGUACUUUUAUAUAAACUGUGUUUUUUAUGUAUAUAAAAAUGUAUUACAUGUAUUGUAUUACAAAUAAAUAUUAUGUGAUUAAUGUAAAAAUAAAAAUUAAAAUAUUUAAUGUGUGCUAUGUUUAUUAAAAUCUAACUUAACCUUGAGACCGCCUAAAGGGAGCGCCCAGCAGCAACGACCGGAGGUAUCCACGCCCAAGGAGCAGGACGUCAUCCGAGCCUAUUCCGUCACGCGUGUGGAGAAAAGAAAAGGCGACGAAAAGGCGGUAGUCACAGCCAAGGGUAACAAGACCCAGGACAACGACGCCCUGACCCACAGAGGAGGCUGAGGCACGGAGGAGCGCACACCCCCCCCCACGCGUGCAAAUAUCCGACCUCGCUAUCAGACGUUAACCCUAGUAUUAGUAUCAUAUACAUAGAUUUAGUUUUAGGUUAAAUAUAGCCAGCUUAACUGGCCCAGUAAAAUUUAUCAUACCAAUUAUAAUCGCAUAUAUCUAUUAUUAUUAAUCAAGUAUAGCAUAAGAAUAAAGUACGUGUUAUCUAUUCCUUUAUAAAAAUAUAUUAAUUACUUUGUUGCUCUAUUCCGCGUUAUAAUAGUUAAAGGUUAGCGCGACGAAUUAGAGAUCAUUGCGCGUCAGGCAAUCAAAGUGUCUUUAGACCAUACUGACGAUCUAAAUAACUAUGUUAGAAUUGCAGACACAACUGCAGGAAUAUUAUUUUCUUUUAUUAAUUAUAAUUUUACUUCGAUUAAAUAUUUCUUUCAUAGUAUCUUAUGCUUUUUCAAUGUACUUUAUUAUAUUAUAAAAUUUAUAUUAACCUGUCAAAUAUUGCUUUUAUCGAUCACUUAGAGCAUAGAAAAUGCGCGAAAAAUGAUUUAGUGUACGUAACAGGCAUAUCUUAGGGAUUGCACCCGGUGCAAUAAAUCUGCACUUUUGGGUGCAAAAUCAAAAAUACGCGGAAAUCAACGCCAAAGCAAAAGGGGGCAAUCUUCAUGGCACUCCAAUGAAUAUUAUUACACCUCAACCCGAUUGGUCGAACCAAGAUGGCGGGGGAAGCCCAGCAGUGCCCGCAAGACAGCGCCAACGCGCGAACCGUCAUUGGACGAGCGGGCGGGAGUGGGGCGAAUGCGCCGUUCCCGCGCGAUCCGGACCGACGCCACGCGCGAUUGGCGGGUGCGACCGGAGUGGGAGAAAUGUCCCCACGCGGUAUAAAAGCGUGCGGCGAGAGCUCUUGAGAGCUUUUCGCGCGUCAAUCACGAUACAGAAAACAUCGUGCGCGAACGUUCCGUGUACCGACACGUAAAAGGCAGUACCGACGCGUUGCAUGCGCAACAGUAACAACACGCGUCCAGGCGUAAAGCAUACAAGGUGAAAUAGCCCUGUUCUGAGCAUCUUGCGUUAACACGAAUGUGAAUAAGCGCCGCGGACGGGUGUGUGUUAAUUAUUAAGAUUUAUCAUACCUGUAAAAUUAUUAGUGCUGAACAAACAUUAAGGCGCAUUCACUUACCUGUUCUCUCGUGCGUUCCUAUCCUCACGGUGAGCCCGAAAUCCUGAAAUAAAGAGACACCUCAAUAUAAAACGCGACCGCGGGUAAAACAUAACCUCAAAAUCAGACUUACCUGGCGAAGUUCACGUGGGGUGAUUCAGCGACGACGGCGAUUCUGAGCGACGGCAGCAGCAUCUGAAAUAGAAAAAUAUAAAGAAUUAGUGACUAAGUUCGACGCAUACGAAGCUAAGUGCGACAAGCAAAGCAUCGUAGCGAGUGCAUCCGGGACGGCACGCACAGCGUCCUUCCGCAUAGCAACAGCAGUUCCGGGCGCAUUGGAAGAACCGGACUGCCAUUCCUUGCUUCUUAUAGGGUAAAAGAAGCUGGCGACCGUGUCAAGGAGAAAUCCAGAUACGUGAGUCCGAAUAAAGACUAGGUCACGACAUUCCCUCGAUCGAUUCCCCGGUCACAACCUAACCUUGAAACCGUCCAGAGGGGGCACCGAGACCGAAUUACAGCUGACGGAGUCAACGAGUGUAGCUGAGCUGUCAGGAGCAGUUACAUCAACCCCGACAACCACGCGACAGGAGCGGAGUUCAAUCCGAGCCACUAGUGUAAGGUUGAGAAGGCUGAACGAAGCGAAAUCCUACGCGGAGUAAGAAUAGAUUGCGUGAUAUCAAUUAAGAACGCGUUAAAAGGUUUAUUUUCUUUUAUUGUAUUAAUUUCUUUAUUUCAACUAGUCCGCGAAUAGCAGAAAAUCGCGACAUCUCAAAGAUACGUAGAAGACGUAAUAUUUAAGUUAAAGUUUUAGUUUAUUUCAAACUCGCGAGAAAUCAAGUAUCGCACGUCAAAUAUGAUCUUAUGUGUUAGCGUUAAGCAUCAACAGCACGUAAUUUCGUCUAAAAAUAUUUUAUUUUGAAUGACAAAACGUCCGAAGUAUUUUAGUUUAAUUAUUAAAAGUAUCAGUUAUGCGAGAACUGCAAGAGCAGUUGUUACAGUAUUAUUUUUUAUUGUUCAUUAUAAUAAUCUUUCAUUUAAACGUUUCGUUUAUUAUUUCUUAUGCGUACUGCAUGUAUUUUACAAUAUUGUAGAUAGAUUUUAGAUUUAAUAUUGCGAAAGCGUCCUGUAUAAUAAAACAGGAAAGGUGUAAAUGCUGGCAAAGUGUAGCUACCAGAAUGGGUUAUAAACCUGUAAGAAAAUCAUAAUGUUGGUUAAAGGUACUUUUCAGUGCCAUAACCGCACUUCUAAGUGCGAAUGUAAACUGCGUAAAGCAGAAGCGUCUGAUUGGCUGAAGCGGCAGUGGAGGGGAGCGACGAGAUCACCGCAGCGCAAGACGAUUGGCCAGGACACGCGAAAGGAAGUUAGGAGGAAGCUCGGAAGCGACGCGAUGAGCUGAUUGGCCGAGAGUUCCGCAUACAAGUGGAGCUGAGCGCUGAUUGGCUGCAGCGCACAUGGCGGGGCGCCGUAGUAUAAAACGGGGCGCAACAGCGUUUCGAGAGCUUUUCUGAGCCCAGCAAUCGAACGGACAAGACCUCCGCGUCUAUCUUAGAUAUAACUCGCGAAAAAAAGAGAUCGUCGGAAAGUUCCGCGGAAGUGCGACCGCGUAACCAAACAGCGUGUAACCGCCGAAUGCGAGUAGGCGAGUUUCGGAAACGUAAUUCCGCGUUAGACACAAUCGCGAAUCGUGCGUAUAUCGAACACGAAUGUGAAUAAGCAUCGCGUUCGGGAACUGUAAAUAGAAUAAAUGAAAAGAGUUGGACAGACGUACACGACUGUGAUAAGGCGACGCAUACGGGAGUUUGUUAAGCAUAAUUUAAGUGUUUGAUUUACAAUAAAUUCUAUUCAGUGUUUAAAAAUUAAACGAACAAACUGGUGUUGUUAUACUUACUAUAUAUUUACCUGCAUGUGAUCCGUGACAUCAAAUCCUGGGAUAACCUGAAAAUAAGAAGUUUCAUUAAAAUCUGGAAGCGAAGGGGUAUUCGUAAAUCUUGCGUGAACUUACCUGAGCGUAUUCCCGAAGGAUCGAGGAGACCUGGGAAGUCCUGAGUGAUCCAGCGGGGCAGCAGCAUCUGAAAAUAAAAGAGAAAAUUAAUAAAAGUGAAAGUACGAGUUGGCGUCGUUUGAGGGGCGCAUGCGUGAAUGAUGUAGCGCGAAACAUGGCAAUCCGACAUCUCCUGAUUGGCGGAAGCAAACAAUUCACCCCGGACAGCCAAUCAGACGAUGCCGAGUAGUGGGAAGAACAGGAUCGCAAGAAUAAGCAACGAUCCUCGAGCAGUGUUCGUAUAUCGGGCAACUUUUAGUGCAUGCGCAGUGGCGCACUCCAGCCACACGCACAGUAACGUAUAUAUUUCGUCGAAACAGAUGGUAUCAAUAGGACAGGAAAAAAUAAUUAAAAAAAAAAUUUCUAGCAAUUGAAUAACACAAUUAAAUUAUAAUUAAUAAUAAUAAAGUUUAUUAAUAGUUCGCGUCUGCAGCCGACUUAUAAUUAUUUACCAACAUUCGUUGCAAAGGUAAGGGAAACUGCAAAAAACCUUAACAGUAUAUUAAUAAAAAAAUUACAUAAAUACAAGAAAUUUACAUAAGUACAAGUAUUAAUAGAAAAUUACGUAAAAGUAUUAUACAAAAUAUUAAUAAAUAAAUAUAUAUAUAUUGCAU